rnacentral:rRNA from 1 species
UGGGGAAUUUUGGACAAUGGGCGCAAGCCUGAUCCAGCAAUGCCGCGUGCAGGAUGAAGGCCUUCGGGUUGUAAACUGCUUUUGUACGGAACGAAAAAGCUCUCUCUAAUACAGGGGGUGAAUGACGGUACCGUAAGAAUAAGCACCGGCUAACUACGUGCCAGCAGCCGCGGUAAUACGUAGGGUGCAAGCGUUAAUCGGAAUUACUGGGCGUAAAGCGUGCGCAGGCGGUUUUGUAAGACAGAGGUGAAAUCCCCGGGCUCAACCUGGGAACUGCCUUUGUGACUGCAAAGCUGGAGUGCGGCAGAGGGCGAUGGAAUUCCACGUGUAGCAGUGAAAUGCGUAGAUAUGCGGAGGAACACCGAUGGCGAAGGCAAUCCCCUGGGCCUGCACUGACGCUCAUGCACGAAAGCGUGGGGAGCAAACA